rnacentral:rRNA from 1 species
GGGCGUUAAGUUGCAGGGUAUAGACCCGAAACCCGGUGAUCUAGCCAUGGGCAGGUUGAAGGUUGGGUAACACUAACUGGAGGACCGAACCGACUAAUGUUGAAAAAUUAGCGGAUGACCUGUGGCUGGGGGUGAAAGGCCAAUCAAACCGGGAGAUAGCUGGUUCUCCCCGAAAGCUAUUUAGGUAGCGCCUCGUGAACUCAUCUCCGGGGGUAGAGCACUGUUUCGGCUAGGGGGCCAUCCCGGCUUACCAACCCGAUGCAAACUGCGAAUACCGGAGAAUGUUAUCACGGGAGACACACGGCGGGUGCUAACGUCCGUCGUGAAGAGGGAAACAACCCAGACCGCCAGCUAAGGUCCCAAAGUCAUGGUUAAGUGGGAAACGAUGUGGGAAGGCCCAGACAGCCAGGAUGUUGGCUUAGAAGCAGCCAUCAUUUAAAGAAAGCGUAAUAGCUCACUGGUCGAGUCGGCCUGCGCGGAAGAUGUAACGGGGCUAAACCAUGCACCGAAGCUGCGGCAGCGACACUGUGUGUUGUUGGGUAGGGGAGCGUUCUGUAAGCCGUUGAAGGUGUGUCGUGAGGCAUGCUGGAGGUAUCAGAAGUGCGAAUGCUGACAUAAGUAACGAUAAAGCGGGUGAAAAGCCCGCUCGCCGGAAGACCAAGGGUUCCUGUCCAACGUUAAUCGGGGCAGGGUGAGUCGACCCCUAAGGCGAGGCCGAAAGGCGUAGUCGAUGGGAAACGGGUUAAUAUUCCCGUACUUGGUGUUACUGCGAAGGGGGGACGGAGAAGGCUAUGUUGGCCGGGCGACGGUAGUCCCGGUUUAAGCGUGUAGGUGUGUGUUCCAGGUAAAUCCGGUUCACUUUAACACUGAGGCGUGAUGACGAGGCACCACGGUGCUGAAGCAACAAAUGCCCUGCUUCCAGGAAAAGCCUCUAAGCAUCAGGUAACAUCAAAUCGUACCCCAAACCGACACAGGUGGUCAGGUAGAGAAUACCAAGGCGCUUGAGAGAACUCGGGUGAAGGAACUAGGCAAAAUGGUGCCGUAACUUCGGGAGAAGGCACGCUGACACGUAGGUGAAGUGAUUUACUCAUGGAGCUGAAGUCAGUCGAAGAUACCAGCUGGCUGCAACUGUUUAUUAAAAACACAGCACUGUGCAAACACGAAAGUGGACGUAUACGGUGUGACGCCUGCCCGGUGCCGGAAGGUUAAUUGAUGGGGUCAGCGCAAGCGAAGCUCCUGAUCGAAGCCCCGGUAAACGGCGGCCGUAACUAUAACGGUCCUAAGGUAGCGAAAUUCCUUGUCGGGUAAGUUCCGACCUGCACGAAUGGCGUAAUGAUGGCCAGGCUGUCUCCACCCGAGACUCAGUGAAAUUGAACUCGCUGUGAAGAUGCAGUGUACCCGCGGCAAGACGGAAAGACCCCGUGAACCUUUACUAUAGCUUGACACUGAACAUUGAGCCUUGAUGUGUAGGAUAGGUGGGAGGCUUUGAAGCGUGGACGCCAGUCUGCGUGGAGCCGACCUUGAAAUACCACCCUUUAAUGUUUGAUGUUCUAACGUGGACCCGUAAUCCGGGUUGCGGACAGUGUCUGGUGGGUAGUUUGACUGGGGCGGUCUCCUCCUAAAGAGUAACGGAGGAGCACGAAGGUUGGCUAAUCCUGGUCGGACAUCAGGAGGUUAGUGCAAUGGCAUAAGCCAGCUUGACUGCGAGCGUGACGGCGCGAGCAGGUGCGAAAGCAGGUCAUAGUGAUCCGGUGGUUCUGAAUGGAAGGGCCAUCGCUCAACGGAUAAAAGGUACUCCGGGGAUAACAGGCUGAUACCGCCCAAGAGUUCAUAUCGACGGCGGUGUUUGGCACCUCGAUGUCGGCUCAUCACAUCCUGGGGCUGAAGUAGGUCCCAAGGGUAUGGCUGUUCGCCAUUUAAAGUGGUACGCGAGCUGGGUUUAGAACGUCGUGAGACAGUUCGGUCCCUAUCUGCCGUGGGCGCUGGAAGAUUGAGGGGGGCUGCUCCUAGUACGAGAGGACCGGAGUGGACGCAUCACUGGUGUUCGGGUUGUCAUGCCAAUGGCACUGCCCGGUAGCUAAAUGCGGAAAAGAUAAGUGCUGAAAGCAUCUAAGCACGAAACUUGCCCCGAGAUGAGUCUUCCCUGAGACUUUGAGUCUCCUGAAGGAACGUUAAAGACGAUGACGUUGAUAGGCCGGGUGUGUAAGCGCAGCGAUGCGUUGAGCUAACCGGUACUAAUGAACCGUGAGGCUUAACCUUACAACGCCGAAGCUGUU